UGAGUAAAGGAUAUUGUUCAUUCUGAGCAAUUACUCAAAUUGUUUCACAGUGUGUUCUAUUUAUUUGUAUGAGCAUGGUUAAUAUGCAAACUGGAUCAUCCCUUGGAAACCUGAAAGUGAAUUUUGUGAUAAUACAAGGAAUCCUAGGGUAAUCAUACCAGAUGUCUUCUGCAUGCCUUAAUUUACAAAUGCCAACAAUAAAAAGGAGGAAGAAGGAGCCAGGAAGAUUGGAUGCAGUAGCCACCAAGGAACCCUGGUGAUGGCAUCUGCUUGGCUUCUAGGGAGGCCUCAGGAAGUUUACAAUCAUGGUGAAAAGUGAAGCUGGAGCAGGCACUUCACAUGGUGAAAGCAGGAGCAAGACACAGUGAAAUGGUACAAGUGCCAAACACUUUAAAAUGACCAGAUCUUACAAGAACUCACUAUCACGAAGACAGACGCCAAGUUAGAGUCAUGUGAAAGCUUUUUGCCAUAUAACUGACCACUGCCUUCCCAGCCAUCAACUCUUCUUUGAGCCGUUUUUUCUCCUUCUUUCUUACAACAACAACUCACUACCCUUCAACUUUAAACUUUCUGCAAAUAACAUAUGGGGAAGUUAUCACUGUCAAGCCUAGAUGUGUGGUGUUAUCGUUAAGUAUGAAACUGUGAUAGUGACUGCAAAGUACUAAAACUAUCCUAUAAAAUUGUGGAAAACAUCAGAAGAGGCCCUUGAGAUU
rnacentral:lncRNA from 1 species